AAAUCUGAGACUGUCAUUGCUUUUAUAAGGAUUCCAGCUUUCCCUCCUGGCCAGAAAUGUUCAGCCUGGACUCAUUCAGAAAAGAUCGGGCCCAGCACAGGCAGCGUCAGUGCAAACUUCCCCCACCCCGCCUUCCACCCAUGUGUGUCAACCCUGCCCCUGGAGGGACCAUCUCUCGAGGCUGAACGUUAACAUUUCCAACAUGGCAGGUGAGUGGCUCUGAGAGUGUCAGAUGUGCUUUGGCUAAGCUUGAAGACGGUUAGUUGGGGUUAACCAGGCAGUUGGCUAGGCAUUGCCUUCUUGAGCACGUGCAAAGGAGAACACUGGUUGCAGGAUGGGCAGUCGCUGCCUCUGGGGCAGCCCCACAUGUGCUGUGCUCUCUUAGACCCCUGAGCCUGGUGGUCUCUUCUCACAGCUACGCCUCCAGGAGGCAUCCGUGGGUGUGUGCAUUUUGCCUUCUCUCUCUCAGCUAGAAGCAACAGCCCUCUUAGCCUGCAGAUAGCAAUCAGGCCUUUCCCCUGUGCUUUCUAGCUCCCUAGAGGCUUUACUGGUGCUCCUGCCCUUAAAGAGAUGUGUUACAGCAACAGUCUCUCUGGUGUUCAUAUAAGGAAAACAGUACACAGAAAAUGGUGGCCAUUUAUAUUGAUCACCGUACUCAGCAGAAUCAGAUUUGGAACUGAAAAAAAAUGAUCACCUCCCUGCCUCCUUGACCCCCCUUCCCCCACUGCCAGUGUCUUCCCAAGGCUUCCUUCCAGGGUAAAGGGUGAGUAUAUCAAGAAACUCACCUCUGGCUGUCCCUUGUCACUCUGCCCCACCUACUCAGAUUUGAGACACAGAAAGCACCAUGGGAUGACACUUCUGGCAGGAUCUUGGGGGCCACAAAACUGAUCUUUCCUUUCCAUUGCCUCGGAUAGAUGUGUGCCCUCUUCUUGAUGUGGUGGUUUACGUCAAGAGACUUGUGGCUGGCCGAGCAUGGUGGCUCACGCCUGCAAUCCCAGCAUUUUGGGAGGCCGAGGUGUGUGGAUCAUCUGAGGC